GGUUAAGCGACUAAGCGUACACGGUGGAUGCCCUGGCAGUCAGAGGCGAUGAAGGACGUGCUAAUCUGCGAUAAGCGUCGGUAAGGUGAUAUGAACCGUUAUAACCGGCGAUUUCCGAAUGGGGAAACCCAGUGUGAUUCGUCACACUAUCAUUAACUGAAUCCAUAGGUUAAUGAGGCGAACCGGGGGAACUGAAACAUCUAAGUACCCCGAGGAAAAGAAAUCAACCGAGAUUCCCCCAGUAGCGGCGAGCGAACGGGGAGGAGCCCAGAGCCUGAAUCAGUGUGUGUGUUAGUGGAAGCGUCUGGAAAGGCGCGCGAUACAGGGUGACAGCCCCGUACACAAAAAUGCACAUGCUGUGAGCUCGAUGAGUAGGGCGGGACACGUGGUAUCCUGUCUGAAUAUGGGGGGACCAUCCUCCAAGGCUAAAUACUCCUGACUGACCGAUAGUGAACCAGUACCGUGAGGGAAAGGCGAAAAGAACCCCGGCGAGGGGAGUGAAAAAGAACCUGAAACCGUGUACGUACAAGCAGUGGGAGCCUCUUUAUGGGGUGACUGCGUACCUUUUGUAUAAUGGGUCAGCGACUUAUAUUCUGUAGCAAGGUUAACCGAAUAGGGGAGCCGAAGGGAAACCGAGUCUUAACUGGGCGUUAAGUUGCAGGGUAUAGACCCGAAACCCGGUGAUCUAGCCAUGGGCAGGUUGAAGGUUGGGUAACACUAACUGGAGGACCGAACCGACUAAUGUUGAAAAAUUAGCGGAUGACUUGUGGCUGGGGGUGAAAGGCCAAUCAAACCGGGAGAUAGCUGGUUCUCCCCGAAAGCUAUUUAGGUAGCGCCUCGUGAAUUCAUCUCCGGGGGUAGAGCACUGUUUCGGCAAGGGGGUCAUCCCGACUUACCAACCCGAUGCAAACUGCGAAUACCGGAGAAUGUUAUCACGGGAGACACACGGCGGGUGCUAACGUCCGUCGUGAAGAGGGAAACAACCCAGACCGCCAGCUAAGGUCCCAAAGUCAUGGUUAAGUGGGAAACGAUGUGGGAAGGCCCAGACAGCCAGGAUGUUGGCUUAGAAGCAGCCAUCAUUUAAAGAAAGCGUAAUAGCUCACUGGUCGAGUCGGCCUGCGCGGAAGAUGUAACGGGGCUAAACCAUGCACCGAAGCUGCGGCAGCGACGCUUAUGCGUUGUUGGGUAGGGGAGCGUUCUGUAAGCCUGCGAAGGUGUACUGUGAGGUAUGCUGGAGGUAUCAGAAGUGCGAAUGCUGACAUAAGUAACGAUAAAGCGGGUGAAAAGCCCGCUCGCCGGAAGACCAAGGGUUCCUGUCCAACGUUAAUCGGGGCAGGGUGAGUCGACCCCUAAGGCGAGGCCGAAAGGCGUAGUCGAUGGGAAACAGGUUAAUAUUCCUGUACUUGGUGUUACUGCGAAGGGGGGACGGAGAAGGCUAUGUUGGCCGGGCGACGGUUGUCCCGGUUUAAGCGUGUAGGCUGGUUUUCCAGGCAAAUCCGGAAAAUCAAGGCUGAGGCGUGAUGACGAGGCACUACGGUGCUGAAGCAACAAAUGCCCUGCUUCCAGGAAAAGCCUCUAAGCAUCAGGUAACAUCAAAUCGUACCCCAAACCGACACAGGUGGUCAGGUAGAGAAUACCAAGGCGCUUGAGAGAACUCGGGUGAAGGAACUAGGCAAAAUGGUGCCGUAACUUCGGGAGAAGGCACGCUGAUAUGUAGGUGAAGCGACUUGCUCGUGGAGCUGAAAUCAGUCGAAGAUACCAGCUGGCUGCAACUGUUUAUUAAAAACACAGCACUGUGCAAACACGAAAGUGGACGUAUACGGUGUGACGCCUGCCCGGUGCCGGAAGGUUAAUUGAUGGGGUUAGCGGUAACGCGAAGCUCUUGAUCGAAGCCCCGGUAAACGGCGGCCGUAACUAUAACGGUCCUAAGGUAGCGAAAUUCCUUGUCGGGUAAGUUCCGACCUGCACGAAUGGCGUAAUGAUGGCCAGGCUGUCUCCACCCGAGACUCAGUGAAAUUGAACUCGCUGUGAAGAUGCAGUGUACCCGCGGCAAGACGGAAAGACCCCGUGAACCUUUACUAUAGCUUGACACUGAACAUUGAGCCUUGAUGUGUAGGAUAGGUGGGAGGCUUUGAAGUGUGGACGCCAGUCUGCAUGGAGCCGACCUUGAAAUACCACCCUUUAAUGUUUGAUGUUCUAACGUUGGCCCCUAAUCGGGGUUGCGGACAGUGUCUGGUGGGUAGUUUGACUGGGGCGGUCUCCUCCUAAAGAGUAACGGAGGAGCACGAAGGUUGGCUAAUCCUGGUCGGACAUCAGGAGGUUAGUGCAAUGGCAUAAGCCAGCUUGACUGCGAGCGUGACGGCGCGAGCAGGUGCGAAAGCAGGUCAUAGUGAUCCGGUGGUUCUGAAUGGAAGGGCCAUCGCUCAACGGAUAAAAGGUACUCCGGGGAUAACAGGCUGAUACCGCCCAAGAGUUCAUAUCGACGGCGGUGUUUGGCACCUCGAUGUCGGCUCAUCACAUCCUGGGGCUGAAGUAGGUCCCAAGGGUAUGGCUGUUCGCCAUUUAAAGUGGUACGCGAGCUGGGUUUAGAACGUCGUGAGACAGUUCGGUCCCUAUCUGCCGUGGGCGCUGGAGAACUGAGGGGGGCUGCUCCUAGUACGAGAGGACCGGAGUGGACGCAUCACUGGUGUUCGGGUUGUCAUGCCAAUGGCACUGCCCGGUAGCUAAAUGCGGAAGAGAUAAGUGCUGAAAGCAUCUAAGCACGAAACUUGCCCCGAGAUGAGUUCUCCCUGACUCCUUGAGAGUCCUGAAGGAACGUUGAAGACGACGACGUUGAUAGGCCGGGUGUGUAAGCGCAGCGAUGCGUUGAGCUAACCGGUACUAAUGAACCGUGAGGCUUAACCUU
rnacentral:rRNA from 1 species